AGGGCAAUGCAUUAUUCUGGUACAAUCUCAAGAAAUCAGGGCAAGGAGACAAAAGGACCAUACACGCUGGGUGCCCUGUCUUGAUAGGCAAUAAAUGGGUCGCAAACAAAUGGUUCCACGAAUAUGGUAACGAAUUUCGACGCCCAUGUGGACUAAACGAGAAUGAUUAGAAGAUCUGAAAGCGUUUUGUGACUACAGAGAAGGUCUUCUUGCGUGACACGUCACGUAAAUGUGUACCCUUCAAAUGGAAACCCAAAGUUUGACGACGCCGUUAAAUAGAAAUCGUUCAAAAGGCGCUCUGUUACUAUACAAUAGCUAAUGUGUGUCCAUCUAUGUGUUCAAGGGUACAUGGGUACCCUGUGUAAUAGAUUCGCGAGAGGGGGUUUUGAGAAAAGGAAAAGUUGGAUAAAUUAUUAAUAAAAAGAAAGAAAAAUUACAUGAACGAAAAUAAAUAUGAAUACCAUUUUUAAA